ensembl:lncRNA
AUGGAUAGAUUGGCCUCAAGGAGAAGGCCUUGAAAUCGUCUGUCUCAUGUCAAGACAGUUAUUCUUCUUAGGAUGGCUGCCAGGGAAUAGAUGAAAGGCAGAAGUGGCGAUGGGUGACUGAUGUGGCACACUUAUGAAGAAAAGCCUCUUUUUCCAUGCUUGUUUUUCCUCCCCAAGGAGCCAACAGAGUUUCUGUUCUCCAACUCUGCUCUUCACCUUACCCGAGAUGGAGUCUCGCUCUGUCACCAGGCUGGAGUGUAGUGGCAUGAUCUCGGCUCACUGCAACCUCCACCUCUUGGGUUCAAGUGAUUCUUGUGCCUCAGCCUCCCCAGUAGCUAGGAUUACAGGGAGGCCUCAGCCAACUGCCACAACUCCUGAGUGAAACGCAUUGCCUGCUCUUCGGACAUUCUGGGGGAGGUGAAGACAAAGGUGAAGUCUCAGCCUUCAGUGUCUCUGAGACUCAAAUUGCCUCAAGUGCUUUCAAACCAGCAAGCAGCUCAUUUAGAAUUUGGUGAUAAGCCAUGGCCCUCAUUUGGGGAAAUUUAGAGGCACAUUUGAAGGAGUAAGCUCAUGUACUAUAACUGGACAUAGGGCCAAAUUCUGUCUUUGGAAAAGUCAGUGAAGCAGACACACCCUGUGCCCUCUAAGUGAAUUAAUGUACUGUGUUCCAUUUGAGAAUCAUUUCUCUCUUCAUCUUUAAUUCCUGCCCUGAGGAGCCAUCUGUACUUUGAGGGUAUGUGCACAGGAUCACUCACUGAGGACUGAGGACCUUCAUGCUCAGCCCUCGAGAUGAAUAACCCUUUCAUACACUGUGGGCUUCCUCUGAUUUUCUGACUAAACCAGACCUUAGUGGGGCGUAGAAAUCUGUAACAGCAAAAAGGUUCAUACAAACGUAAAAACAAAAGGCAAUGGGUGAUUUUCUUGUUGUCGUGGUAGUGGGGGUUGUUUUUAACCCUAAAAUGGCAUAUAUUAAUCCAAAACACAAUAUUAUUGUCCUCAGGAUCUCAUGAUUAUCUUUGACAAAGGAAGAUUAAACAUUCAAACUGUUUUAGGAUUUUUGGGGUUGAGGAGAAGGGAUUGGAUUAAUUCUUUCAGUGGACGUGAAGUCCUAGAGUCUAGGAAGAAUUAGUAAGGUAGAUGAUAUAUCUCCUUCUUUUCAAAGGCUAAGGCCAAAUGUUUGAUUUGGAAAAACAAAAAACAAAAACAAAACCUAGACUGGGCAUGGUGGCUCAUGCCUGAAAUCCCAACACCUUGGGAGGCAGAGGCUGGACGAUCACUUGAGGCCCUGAGUUCAAGAACAUCCUGGGCAACAUUGUGAAAUCACAUCUCUACAAAAGAAUUACGAAAUUAGCCUGGUGUAGUGGCAUGCACCCAUAGUCCUAGCUACUUGGGAGGCUGAGGCAAAAGGGUCAUCAGCCCAGGAGUUUGAGGCUGCAGUGAGACGUACUUGGGCCCCUGCACUCCAGCCUGGGUGACAGAGAGAGAGACCCUGUAUCAAAAACAAAAACAGAAACAAAAAAAAUAAAAACAAUUAAAUAGGUGGUUCUGGGAAGAGGCUUCUUACAAAAAGAAGAAAAAAAA